rnacentral:lncRNA from 1 species
GUUGAGUAGAGGGGGGGAAAACCUAAGAUUAAUCAUCUAAAACUGUAGAUUGAGUUUCAAUUUAUGUUAAUGUUCACUUUUAAGAGAAUUUUAAUAGAUUCCCUUUAAUCUUAAUUGGGUUUAGAAAAAAAAAGUUAAUUUCUAGUUCACCAUGUUUGUUUUUAUAUUUCCAGUGGCAUGAAAUUAGUUGGAGAAAAAAGAAGAAACAUAAUUUUAAGGUUAUGUAUGUUGCCUUGCUCAUGAUUAUUGGAAUGAAUGAGUUCUUACAGCCAAUUCUGAAGAGACCCUGACUAUUCAAAACCAACAACAGAAACCAGAAGAGCAGAAAAUGCUGUGAUGGACAUCUAUCAAAUGCGUUAGGUCAAAAAGCAAGCAUAUUCUGGUACAGCCACCCCGGAAAACAGUGUGGAGCUUCCUCAAGAAGUUAAAAAUAGAGCUACCUUAUGACCCAGCAAUUGUACUACUGGGUAUUUACCCCAAAGAUGCAGAUGUAGUGAAAUGCUGAGACACCUGCACCCCAAUGUUCAUAGCAGCAAUGUCCACAAUAGCCAAACUGUGGAAGGAGCCAUGAUGUCCUUUGACAGAUGAAUGGAUAAAGAAGAUGUGGUGUAUAUCUUCUGUGGUAUAUAUAUAUGAAUAUUACUCAGCCAUCAGAAAGGACUAAUACCCACCAUUUGCUUUGGCGUGGAUGGAACUGGAGGGUAUUAUGCUGAGUGAAAUAAGUCAGUUGGAGAAGGACAGUCAUCAUAUGGUUUCACUCAUAUGUGGACUAUAAGAAAUAGUGAAAGGAAUUAUAAGGGAAAGGAGAGGAACUGAGUGGGAAAAAUUAGAGAGGGAGACAAACCAUGAGACUCCUAACUCUGGGAAACAAACAAAGGGUUGCGGAAGGGGAGGUAAGUGGGGGGUGGGGUAAUUAGGUGACAGGCACUGAAGAAAGCACUUGAUGGGAUGAGUACUGGGUGUUAUAAUAUAUCUUGGUAAAUUGAACUUCAAUAAAAACAAAUGUUAAAAAAAAAGCUGUACUUUU